UGACUUAACAGUAUGAAUCAUGCUUGUCCAGUUUAAAGAAGGCCAAUCUUAUCCACUCAGCCCAUUAGACAACAGGUGGGCCAAGCAAAAUAUGUCUGCAAGCUUGUAGAGACCCACAGGCUGUAAGACUGGUGUCUGCUCUAGAGAAACAAAAGGGCAGGAGGUAGCCAGACUGAGAAGGACCAACUGUUACGAGAGAGAAGAACAAAGAGAAGGAGAAAUCAAGAAGACUGUUGCUUGAUUUUCCUCUCAUCUUAUAACUUAUACUCCAAAAGCUUGCGGGUAUCACCAUCAGAAGAUGAACUUGAGUGGGGCUGGAGGAUAUUUGGAAGCCUGUGGGUGAAGAAUAACCAGUGGCCCAUUCUGGCAGCUGUUGACUUUGUACCCUCUGUUCCUGAGGGAGAAAAAGUGUUGUCAAAAUAGGAAGAAAUUUCAUACCAGUAGCCCUUGGCAGGACGUGAGCUCUGUUCUUCGCUAAAGCAUGCAUCUGAUCGCUGACAAUUUUUUUUUCCUUCUUUUCCCUUUUGUCUCUGGGACAUCAGGGAUUGAGCACAAACUGGCAGUGAAUGAUAUCCCUCCCAACUUUGGUGAUUAUGUUCGUUAAUAAUGAUUAUCGCUUCUAUGUAAUAUUUGCAUGAUAAACUAUAGACAUCUGGUGCAGCGUGCAUGUGCGUGUGGUGUUUGUUGGAAAACAGAAGAAGCUAAAUGCUGAUGAAAUGUGAAAUCUAACCGUUCAGACUAAAAAUAAAGUCAGCAGGCUUUAGGAUUUCUGUAUGCCAGCAAUUCUGAACUGCUUACAUUCGCCGUCUUAGUUACCGUGGAAACACUUGGCUGGGCAUAUACAGACAUGGAGUACACAAUUUGUGGGCCUGGCCCCUGGGGGUCCCAUUACAGAAUUUUGUAUGUUUAGAAAUAUUUUGUAAUAAGGCCCCUUGUGUCACUUAUUAGUGAUAAAACGUACAACUGCCUUCAUCAGCAUCAACCUCAAAUUUGUUUCUCAUUGAAAUGAACCAGCAUGCUUUCAGACUGGUUUCCACCAUGUUGGCUCACGUCUCGAACUCCUGAGCUCAAGCGAUCCAUCAUUCUUUGCCACAAGAUCAUGAGAGCUCUAUUCCUCUCCACAUGGCUGCCUACUUUCCUCUCUGCUGCCUGAUCAUAAGGCAGGACUUCUCCAUUUGCCUCCCCUCCAAGCCCAGUAAUGAGGAAUCCAGUACAGAGUAAUUAGACUGUCUGCGACUGAGGUGCCUGCCAAUUAUGCUGAUGGAACUGAAGUCUUAUUAGACUAAUAAGGUUUUCUAAAUUGGACUUGGGGUUCCUGGUGAUGUGUGCAUUCCUGAGAGAAGUUGCUCAAGUAUUGAAAAUGAGUUUACCUAAGGAUAAAGUUUCACCUUGGAUGAACUAGAGUGAGAAGUGAGUUCACAUGUGAAUUUGGCCACUCAUCUGCUAUGGGACCUCGGAUAAACGUUUACAUUUACGGGUGGGGAAUGAGUCUCUGGCCCUAUCAGUAAAAUGGCAAAAUUAAUUCCCACUGAAAAAUUAUGAGGAUAAUGAAAUAAUCUAAAAAGAGUAUAACAUGAUAUUUUACAUGAAUUACCUUAUAAACCUUAACUUUAAGCGUGGUUACUUACUCAUUCUACAUAGUAAACAAUGAAAUACAGGUAAUUUUAUUAUUAUUGUUACAAAUGUCUCAUAAUCUUGAAGAGUUUUGCAGACAGAGAAACCUCCAUGUGAAUUUCAUCCACAACAUUGACAAAUACUGUUUGGCCACUCUUAACCUUGGUUUCUCUCUCCUUAAAUAAAGCUAAAAAUAGUAACAAAAGUCAUUAAGUCAUGUGACAUUGUUAUGAGGUUAAAUCAAUGAAUACUUGAAAAAUGCUUUUACCACACUGCCUGACUUAGGAAAGGAACUUCCUACCACUGACCAAAUGGAAGUAUGAUUGAAAUAAUUAUUUUCAGUUGAACUUGAAAUGUAUUGCUGUUACAAGUUUUCCAAUUCAAGGUUAUCCAAAUGUACAAAACAUGUUUAUAUCAGGAUUGCGGUGCUAUUCAUGUUAUAUGCAAUUCCACACAUUAAGAUUAUUUUGGAAAUAAUUAGAUCAAAUCAACUAAAGAAAAAAUACUUUCUCAUAUAAUGGUUAAGUCUAGAGUUUAAGUUGGAUUCAGGAUCUUGAACCUUAUUAACAACAGUGUGUCUUUUCGUUCAUCUCUUGCGUCUAUUCAUCUUUAAUCAUGUAUCUCCAUGUGGAAGCGUGUUUCUCGCUUCCAAUGCUCAGAUAUUAAUCAUGGG